UACGUAGGGUGCGAGCGUUGUCCGGAAUUAUUGGGCGUAAAGAGCUCGUAGGCGGUUUGUCACGUCGGAUGUGAAACCCCGGGGCUUAACUCCGGGCCUGCAUUCGAUACGGGGCUGACUAGAGUUCGGCAGGGGAGACUGGAAUUCCUGGUGUAGCGGUGAAAUGCGCAGAUAUCAGGAGGAACACCGGUGGCGAAGGCGGGUCUCUGGGCCGAUACUGACGCUGAGGAGCGAAAGCGUGGGGAGCGAACAGG
rnacentral:rRNA from 1 species